UUUGGCCUUACAUGAACCUAAUGGCCACGUGCUUUUUGGUGCUACUGCUACCUCAUUUUAAAGGUGCUUCUUAUGUUCAUGAGUGCCAGCUUCGCCCGUGUUUGUCUGUGGAUCCGCGAGGUGCUACCAAAUACUUCAUUAAACCCAAGGAGGAAAAAUCUCAUUGUGCCCAAGUCUUUCUAUCUCUGGCAUAGAGGUAUGUUGAAGAGAACGGAUCUGAAGCUCUGGAGAAACUCCUUGAUCGAAAGUCCAAGCAUAUAAAGCCUGACAUUGGCAUGGAAGAGAUCAAGGCAAUGACUAAUACAGAGGAGAAAGAAACAGCUGCAUCAAUCAGGUCCAAAUACAAAGAACCUAAUGUUGGCAAGGUAGAUGCUAGAGCAAUGGAACAACCAGAGAAAAGACCAGUCGCUG